UCGGCUAGGAAAGGACAAGACAAAGACAACGGGAGUUAGCUUGAAAACUACGGUUAGGUUAAAGACAGAUCGUCGAAUCAGCAUCAUAAGCCGAUCUCGAACUCAAAAAGGUAAAGCAUGUUAAUUAUCGGUAAUGGCAUGUACCUAGGAUGUUUUAAGUGUGUUAUAUUGGAUUGUGAUUGUAAUAGUGAAAUAAGUAAAUUGAUAAUUGAUAAUGAUACAUGAUAUGUAACGCCUCGUACCAGAGACCGUUGCCGGAGUCGAACACGAGGUGUUAACGGACUUAAUUCAUUACUUAAA